CGUUGUGGAGAAAAUCAUAGGAGACGAGCAGAUCGCAAGAGAAUAGCCAAGGGACAGACAGGGGACAUCUCAAUUGGGCACGGAUGUUAUGAGGUAUAAACAUAAAAUUGAUCGCAGACAAGGAGGGAGACAAUGGACCCGAAGCCGACAAUCACGCUCCUUUUCUUAAUCUCUCCGCCACCGUCAUCACAGCCCAAGGAUACGUCCGGCCUCCGCCUCGCAAAGCCCUCCAUUUCCCAUGGAACCCGAAACCCUCUUCUCAUCCCACCAGCAGUUUAGAUUGAAGGCUUUGAUUGGUGAUGCCCUUCAGGAAAUAACCAUCUGCCCCUGCUGCGAGGAAGCUUGGCAAUGCAAAAAUCUCACUGGUCCAGGCCAACUUGAAGAUUGAACCUCUAUAACCAAGAAUAUUUCUCAAGUAUGAUACUACCUGUAGGUAUUCAUAUUGUAUAUUAGGGCCAAAAAAUAUCUAAAUAAAUAUAUAGCAAAUUAAAUUUGUAAAAUUCUAACCUCCUGUCCAUCAUUAACAUCUUCCAAGUCAUCUUAAAUGAGAAUCGCUUGAAAAAAAUUAA